UGCAGUCGAACGCGAAAGCCCCGCAAGGGGUGAGUAGAGUGGCAAACGGGUGAGUAACACGUGGGUGACCUGCCUUCGAGCGGGGGAUAACGUCCCGAAAGGGACGCUAAUACCGCAUAACAUCCUGCCUUUGAAGGGGUGGAGAUCAAAGCCGGGGAUCCGCAAGGACCUGGCACUUGAAGAGGGGCCCGCGUCUGAUUAGCUAGUUGGUGAGGUAAUGGCUCACCAAGGCAACGAUCAGUAUCCGGCCUGAGAGGGCGGACGGACACACUGGGACUGAGACACGGCCCAGACUCCUACGGGAGGCAGCAGUGGGGAAUUGUUCGCAAUGGGCGCAAGCCUGACGACGCAACGCCGCGUGGAGGAUGAAGACCUUCGGGUCGUAAACUCCUUUCGAUCGAGACGAAUGGCCUUCGGGUGAACAAUCCGGAGGAAUGACGGUACCGAGAGAAGAAGCCCCGGCUAACUCCGUGCCAGCAGCCGCGGUAAUACGGGGGGGGCAAGCGUUGUUCGGAAUUACUGGGCGUAAAGGGCUCGUAGGUGGCCAACUAAGUCAGACGUGAAAUCCCUCAGCUUAACUGGGGAACUGCGUCUGAUACUGGAUGGCUUGAGUUUGGGAGAGGGAUGCGGAAUUCCAGGUGUAGCGGUGAAAUGCGUAGAUAUCUGGAGGA
rnacentral:rRNA from 1 species